ACCUCUAGAUCCGUUCUCACCAGGAAACCCUGGUUCCCCCUGUUGUCCUUUCUCUAGACGGAUGUUAACGCAGCCACUGUCUCCUGGAAGCCCUCUUUCGCCUAUGAAACAAAUGUAGGGAAAGUGGUCCUUUAUUGCCUGGAAGUCCUGGAAAUCCUCGGGAGCCUGGAGGACCUGGGGGACCUUGUGAGCCACGAGAGCCUUUGAGACCUUUGAUUCCAGGUGACCCAGCUAAGCCUCUGUCACCCCUCUGGCCUUUGAAGCCUGGCUUCCCCCACAAUCCACCGAGGCUACACGAGAAGGGAAUCUCCACGGUGACUCUGGAUGAGGCUUUCCUCCCAGCAGUGAACGUGGCAGUAGAGCUGCAAUUAUUUGCCUUAAAAUUCUACACCAGAAUUUGGAAAUGUCUAUGAUGACAGAUAAGCAGUUUCACAGUCUGACAGAUAAUGUGGAUGAAAGGUCACAGUGGAUUCAGCAUAGCUGGGGCACAGAAGUAGAUGGAAUACAUACCAGCAGACUUUAAUAGACUGUCUGCUUAAUACAACUGAACUUGGCUUGCUGCCUGCUGGAUGACCCUCUUGAACUAUCACUGCAUGGAAAGCAGCUGCACAUCAGCUCCUCCUCUCCUUUUAUGAUCUACUAAUAUACCCAUCCAUCCAGUAUUCAAACUUUUCAGCCCCAGUUCAUUAUAUGUCAAUAGCCCAACUGGAAGCAACACUGACCUUCUGCUAUCAGGCAGCAUUCAAUAGCUGAGCUCCAGGAGGUCCAACUAACAGUGGUGACCCUGGUGGCCCAGGAAGUCCGAUGUCGCCCUGUGGAAGCCAACGGAAUAGCAGAGAAACAUUAUGUUCAAUGCAGUAUUUCAGUGAGACUCAGCAUGUUUUCCCGUUAUACCACAGCACUACAUAUUCCCGUACUAAUUGAACAGGAGAGCUGAACUCUGGCUUCCUGCUUUCCUUUCCUUGGGGAAAGGGACUAAGAAAGCACUAGCAAUAUUUCUCCAUGGCCACAAACUGCCAGGAUAAAGUGUUCCCGCAGGCAUGGGAAGGAACAAUGGAUACACCAAUUCCUGAACUUCCAACCUCAUAAGACCAGGUGGUCCUGUAAAUCCCAAGGACCCAAUCGGACCUUGAGGUCCCAGCUCACCAGGCUGACCCUGAAAGAGUCCAAAGAAUUGAAUGACUACUGCUGGAAACCUCGCAGCAGGCAGCAAUUUGAAGAUGACUGUAUGGAUGAAACAAGGCUCGCAAUGUAUAUACACUCAUGAUUCAAAACAGCUUGCGGUACAGCUCGCGGAUCUGUUCCAGGCACUGGAUACUACAGGAACACAACCUUCAAAUUUAACAACUUCCUCGAGGUGAUAAUUCCUUUUCACCUUCAUCAGGUCUCCAGCACUAAGUCUCUGAGACAUCUGGGAUGAACCACAAGGCUCCAUGGUGGAACCAGUAAUUCAUCAACCAAUUGUACCACGUUACUAAAAAAGCGAGCAAAAAGGAGCCUCGUGAAUUCCUAAGGAAAGCAGAUGGCUUUGAGGCCACUUGAGGGCAGUAAAGGAUAUUUCAGCACAACCUCCAUUCACCGAAAUGAUAGACCAUACAUUUAUUUCUAUGAAUGGAUUGAAGGAAAACAAAAUGACAGAAAUUCAAGGAACUGUAAGGAGGUGCAGUAGCUGGAUAUUGUAUAUGAAGACCAGCCUCAAAGAGACCUUACACUGAGGAGAAUGGAGUGAUCCUGUUCCUUUUCCACAUUCUGGAAAGAAGUGACUAGUUUGUUUCAUCAAUUUGCAGUGCAUUUGAGGAAAAUAAACCAUGACAAAAUGCAAAUUAAGUAGAUCUACUGUAUGCUCUUGCCAGGAUUCAGGAAGAUGGAAGCCCUAAGAGCAGGACUGACCAGAUGCCUCUGCAGUCCCAGACAGUCAAAUUUUGGAUGCAUAAAUUAACUACGCAGUGCAUCUGUGACCUCUGACUUAGG